UAGAAAUCAAAGCAAUAAUCAAAGAAACUAUACUAACAGGCAUCAUAAUUAUGGUACUUAUUACCCUGCAACAAAUCAAAACCCUAACGUGCAAGCUCAAAGUCCGAAUCAAUUUAUGAUGGAUCAAAAUCAGUACUCUUCUCGUCCUAUACCUUCAACCUUUUCAACCUUUAACCCAAAUAAUCUGAAUGGCAAUAUGCAGGUUUCUCUAUCAACAUCAUAUAGGAAAAUUUUGCAGGCUUGGAGAAAAAAGAAGAAGAUUUGACAGUAUACACUAUAAAAGAGCCAAUAAAAUUAAUGAAAAGCA